GGUUUGAUCCUGGUUCAUUAGGAUUGAACGCUGGCGGAUGCUUUACACGCAUGGUCGACCGGCAGGACGGACUUGGUCUGGUGGGCGAGUGGCGAACGGGUGAGUAAUGUAUCGGAACGUGCCUAGUAGCGGGAUGACCAUAGCGAAAGCGUAGCUAAUACCGCAUACGCCCUUCGGGGAAAGCGGGGACCUUCGGGCCUCGUGACCAUUAGGAGCGGCCGAUAUCGGAUUAGCUAGUUGGUGGGGUAAUGGCUCACGAAAAGAUGAUCCGUAUUGUCGAGAGGAUUGACCAGCCACACUGGGACUGAGACACGGCCCAGACUCACGGGGAGGCAGCAGCAAUUUUGGAUAAUGGGGGAAACUGAUCCAGCCAUCUCAUGUGUGUGAUGAAGGCCUUCGGGUUGUAAAGCACUUUUGGCAGAGAAGAAAUGUGGUACGGAUGAAGCACCUGCAAUGACGGCACCGCAGAAUACACCGGCUAACUACGCCAGCAGCCGCGGUAAUACGUAGGGUGCAAGCGUUAAUCGGAAUUACUGGGCGUAAAGCGUGCGCGGUAAGGUUCGGAAAAGAAAAGAAGGAAAUCCAGAGCUUAACGGAACGUAUUUUGACCACUGAGCUAGAGUGUGGUUGUGAGGGAGGUGGAAUUCGCGUGUAGCAGUGAAAUGCGUAGAUAUGCGAGGAACACCGAUGCAUGAAGGCAGCUUCCUGGGGAUAACACUGACGCUCAUGCACGAAAGCGUGGGAGCAAAUGACAUACCCUGGUAGUCCACGCCAACGAUGUCAACUAUUGCUGGGCCUUCGGGCCUUGAAAAGCAGCUAACGCGUGAAGUUGACCGCCAGAGCAUGGGUCGCAAGAUUAAACUCAAAGUGAACGAUUGGGACCCGCACAAGCGGUGGAUGAUGUGGAUUAACGAUGAACGCGAAAACUUUGUCACUCUUUUGAGAUGGUUCGAAUCCUGAAGAGAUUUGGGAGUGUUCGCAAAGAGAACCGAACACAGGUGCUGGCUGUCGUCAGCUCGUGUCGUGAGAUGUUGCUGAGUCCCGCAACGAGCGGCAACCUGUCAUUAAUACAUGAAAGGGCACUGUAUUGAGACUGCCGGUGACAAACCGGAGGAAGGUGGGGAUGACGUCGGUCUCAUGGCCCUUAUGGGUAGGGCUUCACACGUCAUACAAUGGUCGGGACAGAGGGUCGCUAACCCGCGAGGGGGAGCCAACCUGAAACCCGAUCGUAGUCCGGAUCGCAGUCUGCAACUCGACUGCGUGAAGUCGAAUCGCUGGUAAUCAUGAUCAGCAUGUUUGCAGAAUACGUUCCCGGGUCUGUGCAGGGCCACACACCGCCCGCCUACACCACAGAGUGGUUUUAUUGGGGUGGUACAGCCUAACCAGAAGAGGCGAUUACCACUGUGAGAUCAUGACUGGGGUGAAGGCCGUACUACGGUAG
rnacentral:rRNA from 1 species